UUGGAGGGCAAGUCUGGUGCCAGCAGCCGCGGUAAUUCCAGCUCCAAUAGCGUAUAUUAAAGUUGUUGCAGUUAAAAAGCUCGUAGUUGAAUUUCGGGAUCAAUAUGUUGGUCGUGCCUUGGUACGUACUGGCGUCAUUGGUUUCUCCCUUCUGAAGAACCUCGAUGUCAUUAAUUUGGUGUCUUGGGGAAUCAGGACUGUUACUUUGAAAAAAUUAGAGUGUUUAAAGCAGG
rnacentral:rRNA from 1 species